GACGAACGCUGGCGGCGUGCCUAACACAUGCAAGUCGAGCGGAGGAUUCGAGAUGUUUACAUCGAAGGAUCCUUAGCGGCGGACGGGUGAGUAACACGUGGGUAACCUGCCUCAGAGUGGGGGAUAGCCUUUCGAAAGGAAGAUUAAUACCGCAUAAGAUUGUAGCGUCACAUGGCGCAGCAAGAAAAGGAGCAAUCCGCUUUGAGAUGGACCCGCGGCGCAUUAGCUAGUUGGUGAGGUAACGGCUCACCAAGGCCACGAUGCGUAGCCGACCUGAGAGGGUGAUCGGCCACAUUGGAACUGAGACACGGUCCAGACUCCUACGGGAGGCAGCAGUGGGGAAUAUUGCACAAUGGGCGAAAGCCUGAUGCAGCAACGCCGCGUGAGUGAUGAAGGCCUCGGUCGUAAGCUCUUUGAUCAGGGAUGAUAAUGACAGUACCUGAAAACAAGACCACGGCUAACUACGUGCC
rnacentral:rRNA from 1 species